UACAGAGGUCUCGAGCGUUGUUCGGAUUCAUUGGGCGUAAAGGGCGCGUAGGCGGCGGGGUAAGUCUGGUGUGAAAUCUCGGAGCUCAACUCCGAAACUGCACUUGAUACUGCCUCGCUUGAGUACUGGAGAGGAGACUGGAAUUUACGGUGUAGCAGUGAAAUGCGUAGAUAUCGUAAGGAAGACCAGUGGCGAAGGCGAGUCUCUGGACAGUUACUGACGCUGAGGCACGAAGGCCAGGGAGCAAACGGG
rnacentral:rRNA from 1 species